rnacentral:misc_RNA from 1 species
GAUGAAGAACGCAGCGAAAUGCGAUAAGUAAUGCGAAUUGCAGAAUUUCCGUGAGUCAUCGAAUCUUUGAACGCACAUUGCGCCCACUGGUAUUCCGGUGGGCAUGCCUGUUCGAGCGUCAUUAUCCUCCCUCAAACCCCGGGUUUGGUGUUGGACCCAAGUUGUGUGAACAACUGGUCUUAAAGACAAUGACGGCGUCCGUGGGACCCUCGGUGCAACGAGCUUUUAGGAGCACGCAUCGAGUUGCAAGGACCUUCCGGGCCGGUCUCCUUUACUAUUUUACAAUGUUGACCUCGGAUCAGGUAGGAAUACCCGCUGAACUUAAGCAUAUCAAUAAGCGGAGGA